rnacentral:sRNA from 1 species
CUACUGCUUUGUUAGAUGAGAUUACUCAGCGGACACAGGCCACUGAUCCGACCGUAUCGACAGAUGCUGGAGGGUUAGGACAGAUUUCCUCGGAUUAAGGGGUAAUCCAAAGUGGUUUCCGGCUUUAGGGUUGGAUACGCCGUUGAGAGUCGAAGUUUUUACGUGGAAGCACACA